CCUACGGGGGGCAGCAGUGAGGAAUAUUGGUCAAUGGGCGCGAGCCUGAACCAGCCAAGUAGCGUGAAGGAUGACUGCCCUCUGGGUUGUAAACUUCUUUUAUAUGGGAAUAAAACAGGGUAUGCAUACCCUCUUGUAUGUACCAUAUGAAUAAGGAUCGGCUAACUCCGUGCCAGCAGCCGCGGUAAUACGGAGGAUCCGAGCGUUAUCCGGAUUUAUUGGGUUUAAAGGGAGCGUAGGUGGGUUGUUAAGUCAGUUGUGAAAGUUUGCGGCUCAACCGUAAAAUUGCAGUUGAAACUGGCAGUCUUGAGUACAGUAGAGGUGGGCGGAAUUCGUGGUGUAGCGGUGAAAUGCUUAGAUAUCACGAAGAACUCCGAUUGCGAAGGCAGCUCACUGGACUGCAACUGACACUGAUGCUCGAAAGUGUGGGUAGCAAACAGGAUUAGAUACCCUAGUAGUC
rnacentral:rRNA from 1 species